rnacentral:rRNA from 1 species
GACGAACGCUGGCGGCGUGCUUAACACAUGCAAGUCGAACGAAGAGCGAUGGAAGCUUGCUUCUCUCAAUCUUAGUGGCGCACGGGUGAGUAACGCGUAAUCAACCUGCCCUUCAGAGGGGGACAACAGUUGGAAACGACUGCUAAUACCGCAUACGAUCUAAUCUCGGCAUCGAGGAUAGAUGAAAGGUGGCCUCUACAUGUAAGCUAUCACUGAAGGAGGGGAUUGCGUCUGAUUAGCUAGUUGGAGGGGUAACGGCCCACCCAGGCGAUGAUCAGUAGCCGGUCGUAGAGGAUGAACGGCCACAGUGGGACUGAGACACGGCCCAGACUCCUACGGGAGGCAGCAGUGGGGAAUCUUCCGCAAUGGACGAAAGUCUGACGGAGCAACGCCGCGUGAGUGAUGACGGCCUUCGGGUUGUAAAGCUCUGUUAAUCGGGACGAAAGGCCUUCUUGCGAAUAGUGAGAAGGAUUGACGGUACCGGAAUAGAAAGCCACGGCUAACUACGUG